AAUUUCGAUACUUGAUAUACGUCAAUAAAGCUUUGGCCUAAAUGGAACAGAAGACAUACAACUUCGGAUUAACAUUUUGGUAGAUUUCAGACUUAUAGCCCUGUCUAACCUUCUGCCAAUACCAUAGAAUAGAAUUCAUUCUCUUACAGAGACAUGUUCUACAUGGCGAGAGGCUACAUACCAGUACCAAUGUGAAUCUAAUUCCUUUCACUGAUCACAUUGUCAAAGGUAUUUAUUUGCUAUUAAAAAUAGCGAAUAAAAAUAACAUGGGAAAAUAACCCGGAAUAAUAACACUGAAAAGCACAUAGCACAUAUAAUACAUAACAUACAAUUGUUCCUAUAUAUUAAACUCACCGUGAAAUAACCGGGGGCUAAAAUAUUAAUUUGGGCAGCACUAUAGCUCUAAAUAUGACUUUCUUCGUUGAAAACCAUGAGUUUUCUUGAAAACCGGGCUCUGUGAAGGUAGAACUUCAAACCGAAAAAAUAAAUUUCCCGGGAUCUUCGGGCACUUCGGGGCGUGUUUCGGGUGUUGAAAAUGAUUCCAGGGCUUCGGGGGAAGUGGAAGUAGUAGAAAUAUGAGUUUAGGGGUGAAAUGGCUAAAUUCCAAAAAUCCCCAGGAGGUCUCGCAGCCUCCCUUUUAUAGGGUCGAGGUUUGGAUCCGAAGCGCAAGGUAGGGAAGACAGCUGGUGCGAAGGUCGGACACACGGUAGGAAAGGCGAGGCUCGGACGAGGCUGCACACGCGUCACUCCUCGGACGCGCCACGGCUUCGGAAGCGAGGAGUCACCGCGACACGCAUUGGAUUUCUACCGAACCACUUCGGACUCGUCAUCAGUAUCGAAUACGGAGCAGGUGACUCACCGAGAUCGGACUUAUCCAUGAGAGGUUUCUCGAAAAUUGUGCCCCGAACUUCUAAAAUCCAUAACUUUCGCAUACUGGCUCCGUUUUUUAUGUUCUUUAUAUGCACGCGUAGGCGGGAAUAUAUUCUACAACUUUCGUUUAGACUUCUUUGGCUAAUUUUGACUUUAUUUUUAAUAUUAUUAUUUUUAACAGACCGGGACUAGAAAAUUCGUUAAAAUUUCAUAACUUUUUAAUCUGACAUCCGUUUUCGUCAGACUUUUUACCGUUGUACUACUAAUGAAGAGACCUUCAAUUCUCAUUUAGGUUGUGUUGGCUAAAAAUCACUCGAUUUAAAAUUCGAGUUUUUAGUUGUCUACUGCUAAGCUGAAACUUAGAAAAAUCAUAACUUCCUCAUACGAAGUCAGAUUCUGGCGUUCUUUUUAUCGAACUUCUCAGUUUAAAGAAUACUACGACUUUCAUUUAUAUUAUUAAGGCUAAAAAGUAGUUUAUCAAAAACUCACUUUUACUUCAUUCGACGCCGUGCCGGUUUUGUCGCGGAUCUUCGAUUGAUCAUAACUUCUUCGUUAUAACUCGGAUUUCGAUGAGGUUUUCGCCUAAAUGUUUCUAACGAGAAUAUCUACAACUUUCAAUAAUAAAAUUUUACUUAUUUCAAAUUUUAUAUUUUCGUUAAAUUUUACCAUUUGACAUUUGAUUGGAAUCUCAUAAGACUUCUAAUACGUUCUGAAUGAUUCUAAGCAUAGUUUUACUUUAUUUCUAGUAAAAACCAUCUGUUAGAACUCAACAUUCAAAUUCACAUAAUAUUUCGUAAUAUUAUUCACUUUUAUAAUUUACAAUACACGAUAACUGAACGUGUAUGUUACAAAUACCUCCUCCUUUUGAGGAUUUCGUCGCCGAAAUUACAUCGAUUAAAAUAAAUGGAGAUAUUUUCCUCUUAUCUCAUUAUUAUUUUCCCAAGUAUAGUUUGGACCUCGAUGGUGUUUCCACUUGACAAGCACCAACUCUACUUCUUUAUUACGUAGAUUAGUUGUUCCUUCAUUCACGAUCUCUUCAAGCUCUUCUACAUAUCUUAACUUAUUAUCCAAUUUCACCUCGGAUAAUGGAACUGUCUCAUCAUUGAUGCUCAAGCAUUUGCGCAGAUAGCUCACAUGAAACACAUCAUGAAUACCUGCCAAAUCUUUCGGCAAUUCCAAGCGGUAUGCUUGUUUACCAACUCUCUGGAUGAUUUUGAAAGGACCAAUAAAUCUAGAGCUUAGGUUUCCUUUCUUCCUCAAAUUUCAUAAUACCUUUCCACGGGGUUACCUUCAGUAUCACCCACUUGGAAUUCUAUGGAUCGUCUCCUCCAUUUCUACACAGGAUUUUUGUCGAUCAUGGGCUGCUUUCAUUCUUUCCCGUAUAAUUUGAAUCUUUUCGGUGGUGUCUUGAAUCAUUUCAGGGCCUCCAAGGAUCUUCUGUCCUAUGUCUCGCAAACAUAAUGGCGUACGACAUUUACGACCAUAUAAUGCUUCAUAUGGUGUCAUUUUGAUUAAAGUGUAGUAACUGUUAUUAUAUGAAAAUUCGACAAGAGGUAAGUAUUUAUCCUAGUUACCACUGAACUCCAAUACACAUGCACGAAGCAUAUCUUCUACUGUUUAGAUCGUUCUCUCCGUUUGACUAUCUGUCUAGGGAUGAUAAGUUGUGCUGAGAGCAACUCGAGAUCCCAAUUCACGUUUCAUACUCACCCAAAAGUGAGAAGUGAAGCGAGUAUCACGAUCGGAAAUAAUCUUUAGUGGCACACCAGGUCUCGCAGUGAUUUCGUCUAAGUAAACUGUGUGUAUUUCUCCAUUAGAACCGUUGUACGUAUGGCGAUAAAAUAUGCACUCAUAGUCAGCUGGUCGACAAUUACCCAAAUGCUAUUAUUCUAUAUAGCAGUCUUUGACAAUUAGAGUAGCACCAUGCAUAAGGUCAAUCCAGAAUUCUACUUGCCUAUUCGGGGUAGUCCAGGCAAUUCGUCGGGAAGAUCAUCAAGAUUUUCAUUAAUAAUGGAAACAUCAUUUACAAUUUUCUUCCCAUUUCUUGAGAUAUCAACUACAUUAGCCGGAUAAGUAGAAUAUCCCUUCGAUAUAAAUUUACGAGUUUGUAAGAAAGAAGUUAUUAUUUUCAAAGUAGACAUAAAUAGAAUCCUCUUCUUCGAUAAGGAUGCAUACUAUCUCUUCGUAGCACAAGAGUUUUGCGUGGUUCUUUGAUAACCAAUCCAUGCCGAGAACAAUAUCAAAGUUGGGCAAGGAGAUAGGAAUUAGGUUAGCAAGAAGAUUAUAACCUUCAAUUCCUAUGACACUAUCCUUAUAGACUUUAUCAGCAAGUAAUGAUAUACUUCCUAUGUUAUCUAUAUGAAAUGAUUGGACAAUUGCAUAACAAGCAAUUUGAAAAAAAAUGUGUGAAUUUAUAAGGCACGAAAGAAUCUGAGGCAUCAAAAUCAAAUAAGAUGUGAGCGGAUCUAGAGUUUACGAGAAAAUUACUAGUCACAACAUUCGAGUUCUAACUUACUUCUUCUGUGGUAAUCUAAAAUGUAUGAUAUUUAACUUUUGGUUUGCCAAACGAUUGUCAAACUCUUCAAACUUCUUAGUUACUAGCGGUGCUCAAACCUGCACCCUCUCAUCAUUCUCUAGUGGGCCUUCGAUCCUAACCUUUGAGUUAAAACUCAAUUCUCAUUGUAGACUCCUGCUCCUUCUUGGUUUAUAGACUAAACCCAAGAUAAGGUCUUUACUUUUGCUAUAACAACUCGAAUGGUCAUAUUCUAAUGACCUUUGAUUUUAUAAUGCACAAGACAUAUAAUGAACCAAACUCUUGUAUUAGAAUCAGAUCGAAUAAAUCGAGUUGGUGGAAUAGAGAAAACAAAAAGAGUUUGAUCAGCAUGUGGAUGCUUCGGAACAGAAAGAAUAGCACCAUGUAUCUCUAAUUCGUGCUUUCAGACAUACACAUCAGUUUUGUCAAAUGACAGAAUAUUUCGAUUGAUUACGAAAUCACGGAUUUCAUACUGUAGUCCUUCCAUGAAUAACUAAAUUCUUCAUCGCCUUCAUAAUAGGUAACAUCUCUAGUUAAUGGUUGCUCAAUUUUUUAAUGAAGAUCGUUAUAUUUCUAUCGACCAUCUCCUUCUUGACUGAAAUUUCAUGAUUACUCGAACAUGGCUUUCUAAACCAAUCAACUUUAUCUUUGUAGAUUUAUAUUAAUCGGACUCCACUCUUUAUGAAAUUAAGAUUUGAACAAUAAUUAUCUUCUUAGUCAUUACCGAAACGAAGGUAACGACACUCAUGAAUAAAACGGAAUCAUUUACUAGCUUCAUUGUAACCUUGUGACUUUCCCUGAUCCAAGAGUGAGUCAUAUGCUUCCAAUAGUAUAGGUCUCUACUACCAUUUACACCUACUCAUACUUGUCCCAAGUAUUGUCUCGCAGUUUUCCAAGUCACCAUUCAAAAUCACAAAACAACUUAUCACACAUGAAUGUGUUCAAACAAAUACAUACAACAAUUUCUCCUAGACUCAACUAGGGUUUUCGCGUUUCUAUCAAACAUAUCUUGUAUUACUUAUACUCGUCUUCUAAAAUUUUUAUCACGCAUAUGCUCGAUCUAGCAUAUUCUAAUGCUUUUUUCAUAGGUCGAUAGAAUUUUACUUCCAAAUCUUCAUAUAAAUUCUUUCUCGGGUAGUGUCUACUCUACAAGACAUACUACACCCAAAAUUUACUCUAGCAGUGUAGAGACAAACGGUCUUCAACUACUUGCAUCAUAUUUUAACUUAUGUAAUUCACCAUGCACCUUUGUUCAUUUCAUUAUCCUUCCAUGACAUCGUUAUUCUUGUAUCUGAGUAAGUCUAAGUCUACUUCAUAGGAGUCUGUCUUAAGAAGUUUGCAUUAUAGCUGCAUCUCAGCAAGCUCUACUAGCUUCAACUUGGUUCUCUGUCAUUCCUAACUACAACAUUUCUUCUCAUACAAUACUAUGGGUGUAUUGUUUCUUCAACUAAGCAUUCUACCUUACUUAAACAAGUAGGUUACGUAACCUUUUAUUACUAAAUGACUUAAUUCACCAUCCUAAUCAUGUAUGUUAAAGUUGGCUUAACACACAAUGGAACUUCCAUAAGGAUGUGAUAGAAGUUAAUCAUCAUUCAGUAUUAUUAAAUACUAAGUCUGAGCAUCCUGUAUAGAGUUACUACUUGAACUACAUACUACAUCACAAAGUCUUGGCCUAUUGAGUCUGAAAAACUUCAUUAGCCUUUCCUUUGAUCUUCAUUUAAUUCUUCUAAAUCUUAUACCACAUUAAUUUCAAUAUUGUUGAUGUAUUUAUCACCAUCUUCGGUUCUUCCGAUUUUAUAAACAAUCACUACUUUAAUCUGGACAACGGUGGAAUAACUUCAUGGAUUUGUACCAACACAUUUAUCUCGCCCAAAUGUGUUUCAAACGUACAUCAUUCUUCUAAAGAUGUUAUUAUUUCAUCAAAUUUAUACUUUGAAUGUACAACACCACUCUAUUGGUAUUAAUACACUAUUUACGAUUUCACUUGGUAAAUAUUAUUUUACGAUAUCCCUCGAUCGUGUAUCUACAAACUUAUCGAUGUCGACUAUUAUAAGUCUCUUUAUCACUUCGAAAAGUUUCAUGUAAAUUCUAAUACAAAAAUUCUUAGAAUUCUAAACAUAAAAUUUUCUCUUCUAAAUCAAGGUCGACAACAGACCAUAAACUUUCUUAAAUAAUAGCAAUAAGGCAAGCAACCUAAGGCAUGCUAUAUUCAUUUAUCAUUUAGCACAUAUUAGAAUAUAAGGCAUAUCUCCUCUUAAUAUUCUAGUGUUUGUUUCCAUUUAGGUAUUCAACCUAAGUAUACCAGAUACACAUCAUAUCAUCUUCACAUAACAAUUUAUGUUUAAGUCUAGAAAUUCUCAAAAUUCCUAGUUCACUUAAACUAAUUUUCUGAAAAUUUUGGAGUAACUUAAUAUCUUAGAAUACUAGGGUUUAUCACUACCCAAUACCCCACUUAAGUAUUUCCUAUGGUUUGUAUCCAUAUAAUCCUAAUGAAUCCGUUCAUAUAUUGAACUUCCAACAGUUUAUGUCUAAAUACCAAUCCAUGGUAUUUAGUUCACUUAAACCACUGCUCUGAUACCAUGAUUAAAAGACCCUCACUUUCGUAUUUCUGAAAGACCCAAACUUUCAUACUUGACAUAUAGUUACUUCAAAACAUGCUACUUGCAUAUUCAUAAAAACAAUAUUUUACAUUGAUAAAGAGAUUACAAAUGACUGGAUACAAACCAACUAUUACAACGUGUUAUAUAUUACACAACUACCCAGUAUACUAUACAUUUAUACUUACAUGAUCCCUAAAUACAAAAGUAAUAUUACAACUAUUCUAAACCUUCCGACAGUAUAUGACUAUACUGGUUACUUAUCUCCUACAAAUUUGUUAAACAUUGAGAGGGUAAGCGGUGACUCUUAGUGAGUUCAAUAAUAGAUACAAUAUAACGUUAUGCCAUAUAUAUACUUCAAUAUGGCAGAAGCAAAGAGGAACAAGGAACAACAAAUGCAUAUGUGAAUCAUGUGACAAACUUUCCAUAUCAAUCAUUGAUUUGAUUCAAAGAUAUACAAUCAAUGAGACAUAACAAUUUCGAUACUUGAUAUACGUCAAUAAAGCUUUGGCCUAAAUGGAACAUAAGACAUACAACUUCGGAUUAACAUUUUGGUAGAUUUCAGACUUAUAGCCCUGUCUAACCUUCUGCCAAUACCAUAGAAUAGAAUUCAUUCUCUUACAGAGACAUGUUCUACAUGGCGAGAGGCUACAUACCAGUACCAAUGUGAAUCUAAUUCCUUUCACUGAUCACAUUGUCAAAGGUAUUUAUUUGCUAUUAAAAAUAGCGAAUAAAAAUAACAUGGGAAAAUAACCCGGAAUAAUAACACUGAAAAGCACAUAGCACAUAUAAUACAUAACAUACAAUUGUUCUUAUAUAUUAAACUCACCAUGAAAUAACCAGGGGCUAAAAUA
rnacentral:lncRNA from 1 species